ACAAAUUUCAACAUGCAUACAAAUCAAGAAGGGGUGGGGGUGUUACAUGCAAAUUCUGCUUCAGUGGGUGUUGGAGCCUGAGAUUCUGGCUUUCUAACAAGCUCCCAGUAGAGAUGGGGUUUCACCAUGUUGCCCAGGCUGGUCUCAAACUCCUGAGCUCAGGCCAUCUGCCCGCCUCGGCCUCCCAAAGUGCUAGGAUUACAGAAGGUGCCUGCUUCCCCUUCACCUUCCACCAUGAUUGUAAGUUUCCUGAGGCCUCCCCAGACAUGUGGAACUAACAGGUUUCUCUUAUUGCCUGGAUCCAAGAGCAUCUCCUGGGUUCUUCCUGUUAGAAUACUGAAUGUCCAUGGAGAGUUUAACAUAAGGAAGAAGAGGCCUGUCUCCCAGCUGAAACUGGUGCAGCAGAUCAUGCAAAGUAAAACCUCAGCAGCUGUGAUGAAGUAGAGCAGAGGGCCUGGGUGUCUGUCAGCUCCAAGCGGAAGAUUUCCCCAGCUUUCUAGGUUCAAGGUUUUUUUCUUUUCUUUCUUUUUAGAUUUCUGACUUCAUAUCUGUGGGAUCCACACAAUGGGGAGGUACUGGCCUUGGAAUCCAUGGUUCCCCAGCUAUCAUUUUACUUUAGAAUUACAGUGUUCUCUGUUAGUGUCAAGGGAAUGAACCUGACGAGAAAAGACCAAACAUAGGACUGUUACAGGGAAGAAAAAUAUGAAAAGACCUAAAGAUGCACGUCCUCAUUAUAUGUAAGGAAUCUAUUUCCUAGAAUCCUAUAAAAAGCUCAAGUGAAUUUGCUUCAGUUAAUAAAUGUGAUUUAAUUAUAAUGAUAAUGCCAC
rnacentral:lncRNA from 1 species